rnacentral:rRNA from 1 species
CCUACGGGUGGCAGCAGUAGGGAAUUUUCGGCAAUAGGGGCAACCCUGACCGAGCAACGCCGCGUGAACGAAGAAGUUAUUCGUAAUGUAAAGUUCUUUUAGCAGGGGAGAAAGAGAAAUUUGACGUUACCUGAAGAAUAUACCCCGGCUAACUACGUGCCAGCAGACGCGGUAAUACGUAGGGAGCGAGCGUUAUACGGAAUUAUUGGGCGUAAAGGGUGCGUAGAUGGGAUAGUAAGUCUUUUGUAAAAAUGAUGGGCUAAACCGAGUAGGGCAAAAGAUACUGGAAAGCUAGAGUAUGACAGAGGCAAGUGGAACUAGAGGUGUAGCGGUAAAAUGCGUAGAUAU